GCCUAUGGUCUCCAAGGACUGUUUCAGCAGCUAAGGUUUGGCUCGAAGUUAUGGCUCCCUACUCUGGGAGCUAAAAGGAAUGGCACAGAAAGUGGCCAGUGAAAGAUACUUAUUUUUUAAAAGUCUAUUGAUUGUCCAUCUAGCUUUCUAAUGAAGACUGGAGUUCAUGGCAACAAAAUAACAUAUUUUAUUUAAGAAACAUACCCAGCAAAGUCAUACACGUGUCUUUUGUGACCAGCCAUUUCUGGGAAACUGACAUUUUAUUUCUCCCCCUCCAGCAUCUGUAAAUUCAUGGAGUGCCCUGCAUUUGAUUAACUUCUGCUGUCCUUCACAUCCUCUACACAAAAGAUUCUCAUUUAAUGAAAGCCAUGUCGCUAGUUCCUUUAGUGCGAUCCAGAGUUGCUCCUGGGUCACCUAGAACUGUAGCUUUUGCUGAUGUGAAGACUUCCUGCUCACGGAUAGCACGACAUGAGGCCCUACUUGCUCCAGAGCCUGAUUAGCAUGGAUCUCCUGGCACACAGAAAGGCAAAGCUGUCUGAAAAUAGAAAAAGAGGAAGAGACUGUAAAAUCUACCAAACAAAUAUGAAGAAACUGUUUUUGAAAGUAAUUUAGGGUGAGAUUCAAUAAAAGUAUGUCUAGUUUGCA
rnacentral:lncRNA from 1 species